AUAAAAAAAAAUAUACUUAUUAUUAUUUUCAAUAUAUCUAACAAUAAAUAAAUGGUUCAAAUUAUAUAUGCAUAAAUAAAGUGGUUAAUUCAAAGCAUUUAAUUAUAAAGAGAGCAAAUGGUUAUCUAUUUAUUAAUUAAACAAAAUUAAAACUUAAAAAAAUAUCAUGAAUUGUGUGAACGUGAAAACCAACCCUUGAACAUGACCUUGGGCUUCCCAGGGCUUCCACAGCUAUUAUUGGUUUGAUAUUUUUAUCAGUUUCUUUAUGGGCUGUGAUAAUAUAUUAUUUCUUUGUUGGUCGACCAGAAACAAAGUUGCCAGAUGCCUGAUCUGAUCAAAUGAACAGGUUGGGUCAAGAAAUAAAGGAACAGUUGAGAGAGAAUAAUGAGAAAUUAUUUAAAAAAUCAAUUAAAGCACAUCAAAUAAAUUAUUUAUUUAUCAUACUGACGAAAAUCAUGAUCACCCUGAGAAGAUGUACAACAAUUUGAAGAAGUAAAGCAACAGCCAACAUUUAUCUUGCUUCAGGCUCAAACUGGAAUGGAUCGACCUCCAAUCCAAGAGAAGCAGUUGUUGAUAUAAUUAUUUUCUCAAGUAACCUUCAACAAUAUCAAGUAGCUGAAAGAAAAACAAAAUCAAUUAAAAUAAUUUAAGUAUAUAUUAUAAUUAAUUAAAAUGUCUAUAAAGCAACUACUUACUUGGGUUCGAAAUUCUUUAUGUAUUGCUACUGCGACUGAGUCAGCACCGAAUUUUACAUACAUUUCAAGUAAUAUGACCCCAAUAAUGAGUACAGCCAAUAUUGAUUUUUGGUAAAAAAUACAUUUAUCAGUAAAUGAAGGUGUCUUUUCGGUAUAAUGAACGUUAUGUUCUUCAAGAACUUCGUAUUUUGGACCUUCGUCAACCGACAUGUUUCUGGCCCUCAAGGCAUCCCCCCAGCAGUAAUGUGACUUGUUUACUGGUUUCAGCUCAACGCAGUUUACCAAUCGAGCAACUCUACCAGAAGAUUUUUCUUUGCCAUCAUCAUCAAACCAUCCUUGAAAUGAUCCAUGUUCGCUAAAUGAUUUUUUGAGUACUCUUGGGAUCGGUUGAGCAAAUUUUUUAACACCAACUAAAAUAAUUAAUCAAUUAUUAA